CCUACGGGAGGCAGCAGUGGGGAAUUUUGGACAAUGGGCGCAAGCCUGAUCCAGCAAUGCCGCGUGAGUGAAGAAGGCCUUCGGGUUGUAAAGCUCUUUUGUCAGGGAAGAAACGGUGGGAGCUAAUAUCUCCCGCUAAUGACGGUACCUGAAGAAUAAGCACCGGCUAACUACGUGCCAGCAGCCGCGGUAAUACGUGGGGUGCAAGCGUUAAUCGGAAUUACUGGGCGUAAAGCGUGCGCAGGCGGUUUUGUAAGUCUGUCGUGAAAGCCCCGGGCUCAACCUGGGAAUUGCGAUGGAGACUGCAAGGCUUGAAUCUGGCAGAGGGGGGUAGAAUUCCACGUGUAGCAGUGAAAUGCGUAGAGAUGUGGAGGAACACCGAUGGCGAAGGCAGCCCCCUGGGUCAAGAUUGACGCUCAUGCACGAAAGCGUGGGGAGCAAACAGGAUUAGAUACCCUGGUAGUCCACGCCCUAAACGAUGUCUACUAGUUGUCGGGCUUUAAUUAACUUGGUAACGCAGCUAACGCGUGAAGUAGACCGCCUGGGGAGUACGGUCGCAAGAUUAAAACUCAAAGGAAUUGACGGCNGAGAGAGCGAGACGACGACGAGGGAGGAGG
rnacentral:rRNA from 1 species